rfam:Triticum aestivum genome assembly, contig: Triticum_aestivum_CS42_TGACv1_scaffold_036393_1BL
GUGAGCCGCAUGCGGGGAGACCCGCACGUACGGUUUUCAGGGGGAUCCGGCCGGCCGGCGCCCACCCGAC